UAGUGGGCUGGCAUUGAGUGUCUGUGGCUUUUCCAGGUGCACAGUGCAAGCUGUAAGUGGAUCCACCAUUCUGGGAUCUGGAGAACGGUGGUCCUUUUCUCACAGCUCCACUUGAUGGUGCCCUAGAAGGGAGUCUGUGUGGGGGCUCCAACCUCACAUUUCCCUUCGGCACUGCCCUAGCAGAGGCUCUCUAUUAGGGUCCCGCCCCUGCAGCAAAUUUCUGCCUGGCCAUCCAGGCACUUUCAUACGUCUUCUGAAAUCUAGGCAGAGGUUCCCAAACCUCAAUUAUUGUGUACUCACAGGCUCAAUACUACAUGGAAGCUGCCAACGCUUGAGGCUUGCACCCUCUGAAGCUAUGGCCCAAGCUCUACUUUGGCCCCUUUCAGUCAUGGCUAGAGCAGCUGGGAUGCAGAACACCAAGUUCCAAGACUGUACAAAGCAACAAGAUCGGAAGAGCACACUUCU